CGGACGGGUGAGUAACGCGUGGGUAACCUGCCUCAUACAGGGGGAUAACAGUUAGAAAUGACUGCUAAUACCGCAUAAGCGCACAGUGCUGCAUGGCACAGUGUGAAAAACCCCGGUGGUAUAAGAUGGACCCGCGUUGGAUUAGCUUGUUGGUGGGGUAACGGCCCACCAAGGCGACGAUCCAUAGCCGGCCUGAGAGGGUGAACGGCCACAUUGGGACUGAGACACGGCCCAGACUCCUACGGGAGGCAGCAUG
rnacentral:rRNA from 1 species